rnacentral:tRNA from 1 species
GCACCCGUAGCUCAGUUGGUUAGAGUGCAUGCUUGACAUGCAUGAGGUCGCUGGUUCGAAUCCAGCCGGGUGCA